rnacentral:tRNA from 1 species
GUGCCCAUUGUCUAAUGGUAAAGACUGAGGGUCACCAUGAGGGGCCUUCUGAUAUAGGUUCGAAUCCUAUUGAGCGCU